GGGGGUGUAGCUCAGUUGGUAGAGCGCUUGCCUUGCACGCAUGAUGCCAGGAGUUCGAGUCUCCUCACCUCCACCA
rnacentral:tRNA from 2 species